GGGCCCGCACAAGCGGUGGAGCAUGUGGUUUAAUUCGAUGAUACGCGAGGAACCUUACCUAGGCUUAAAUGUAGAUUGACGUAUUGGGAAACCAGUAUUUCUUCGGACAAUCUACAAGGUGCUGCAUGGUUGUCGUCAGCUCGUGCCGUGAGGUGUCGGGUUAAGUCCCAUAACGAGCGCAACCCCUAUCAUUAGUUGCUAACAUUUAGUUGAGGACUCUAAUGAAACUGCCCGCGUAAGCGGUGAGGAAGGUGGGGAUGACGUCAAAUCAUCACGGCCCUUACGUCUAGGGCUACACACGUGCUACAAUGGUCGGUACAGAAAGCAGCCACUAUGCGAAUAGGAGCUAAUCUUUAAAAACCGAUCUCAGUUCGGAUCGCAGUCUGCAACUCGACUGCGUGAAGCUGGAAUCGCUAG
rnacentral:rRNA from 1 species